UGCUGCAUGGCUGUGGUCAGUUCGUGUCGUGAGAUGUUGGGUUAAGUCCGGCAACGAGCGCAACCGUUAUUGCCAGUUGCCAUCAUUUAGUAGGGCACUCUGGCGAAACCGCCCGGGAUAACGUGGAGGAAGGUGGGGAUGACGUCAAGUCCUCAUGGCCUUUAUGUCCAGGGCUACACACGUGCUACAAUGCCCGGUACAAACCGUCGCAAACCCGUGAGGGGGAGCUAAUCGGAAAAAGCCGGGCUCAGUUCGGAUUGAAGUCUGCAACUCGACUUCAUGAAGCUGGAAUCGCUAGUAAUCGCGGAUCAGAACGCUGCGGUGAAUACGUUCCCGGGCCUUGUACACACCGCCCGUCACAUCACGAAAGUGGGUGGUACUAGAAGUCGGUGCGCUAACCGUAAGGGGGCAGCCGCCCAAGGUAUCAUUCAUGAUUGGGGUGAAGUCGUAACAAGGUAGCCGUAGGAGAACCUGCGGCUGGAUCACCUCC
rnacentral:rRNA from 1 species